rnacentral:rRNA from 1 species
GCGUGCCUAAUACAUGCAAGUCGAACGCUUCUUUUUCCACCGGAGCUUGCUCCACCGGAAAAAGAGGAGUGGCGAACGGGUGAGUAACACGUGGGUAACCUGCCCAUCAGAAGGGGAUAACACUUGGAAACAGGUGCUAAUACCGUAUAACAAUCGAAACCGCAUGGUUUUGAUUUGAAAGGCGCUUUCGGGUGUCGCUGAUGGAUGGACCCGCGGUGCAUUAGCUAGUUGGUGAGGUAACGGCUCACCAAGGCCACGAUGCAUAGCCGACCUGAGAGGGUGAUCGGCCACAUUGGGACUGAGACACGGCCCAAACUCCUACGGGAGGCAGCAGUAGGGAAUCUUCGGCAAUGGACGAAAGUCUGACCGAGCAACGCCGCGUGAGUGAAGAAGGUUUUCGGAUCGUAAAACUCUGUUGUUAGAGAAGAACAAGGAUGAGAGUAACUGUUCAUCCCUUGACGGUAUCUAACCAGAAAGCCACGGCUAACUACGUGCCAGCAGCCGCGGUAAUACGUAGGUGGCAAGCGUUGUCCGGAUUUAUUGGGCGUAAAGCGAGCGCAGGCGGUUUCUUAAGUCUGAUGUGAAAGCCCCCGGCUCAACCGGGGAGGGUCAUUGGAAACUGGGAGACUUGAGUGCAGAAGAGGAGAGUGGAAUUCCAUGUGUAGCGGUGAAAUGCGUAGAUAUAUGGAGGAACACCAGUGGCGAAGGCGGCUCUCUGGUCUGUAACUGACGCUGAGGCUCGAAAGCGUGGGGAGCAAACAGGAUUAGAUACCCUGGUAGUCCACGCCGUAAACGAUGAGUGCUAAGUGUUGGAGGGUUUCCGCCCUUCAGUGCUGCAGCUAACGCAUUAAGCACUCCGCCUGGGGAGUACGACCGCAAGGUUGAAACUCAAAGGAAUUGACGGGGGCCCGCACAAGCGGUGGAGCAUGUGGUUUAAUUCGAAGCAACGCGAAGAACCUUACCAGGUCUUGACAUCCUUUGACCACUCUAGAGAUAGAGCUUCCCCUUCGGGGGCAAAGUGACAGGUGGUGCAUGGUUGUCGUCAGCUCGUGUCGUGAGAUGUUGGGUUAAGUCCCGCAACGAGCGCAACCCUUAUUGUUAGUUGCCAUCAUUCAGUUGGGCACUCUAGCAAGACUGCCGGUGACAAACCGGAGGAAGGUGGGGAUGACGUCAAAUCAUCAUGCCCCUUAUGACCUGGGCUACACACGUGCUACAAUGGGAAGUACAACGAGUCGCGAAGUCGCGAGGCUAAGCUAAUCUCUUAAAGCUUCUCUCAGUUCGGAUUGCAGGCUGCAACUCGCCUGCAUGAAGCCGGAAUCGCUAGUAAUCGCGGAUCAGCACGCCGCGGUGAAUACGUUCCCGGGCCUUGUACACACCGCCCGUCACACCACGAGAGUUUGUAACACCCGAAGUCGGUGAGGUAACCUUUUGGAGCCAGCCGCCUAAGGUGGGAUAGAUGAUUGGGG